rnacentral:pre_miRNA from 1 species
GGUUUGAGGUUUCCUCGGUAGUUAACUUCAGUUCCAUAAUUCGGCAGUUAACUGCCGAGUGACAU